rnacentral:lncRNA from 1 species
GACUUGUGGAAGUGGAAAAGCACUGGUGAGGGCAGUCUCUGAAAUCAUUUACUCCAGUGUACAAGUCAGCUCUCAGCGGUCCUGGCCUCUCCCAGGAGGCUGUGCGGCCGGCAGGAUGGAUCUUUAGCAUCUCCUACUCCUGGGCUGGCCUGUUCCUUGCCCUGGGUCCUCCCAAUGUGUUGAAUGCCUCAGCUGUCCAGAGGAGCACCACACCCAGGCCUGCCCUCCUCGGAAUGUGGCUGUGACCCGAGAGCAAUGUUUCUGCCCAUCUUUCUGUUUACUUCUCCUAAGCCUCGGUGACCUUAGCAGGAGGCUGAGGUGGGAGAACCACUUGAGCUCGUGAGUUUGACUGCAGCCUGGAGAACACGUACUGGAGAUUGAACCUACCCAGCGCUAGGCAGGCUCUGUGCCACUGAGCUACAUCCCUGACCCCUGCAACACACCCAUAUUUUAAAAAAUGGGCACAGGACUUGAACAGACAUUACUCCAAGUGGCAGGCGAAAACAGUAAGAGGUGGUUUGAUUCUUCCAUUUUGACUCUAGACCACAAACAAUAAAGACUUCCAAGUCUCCUUGGAUCCGUGUAACAGAAAAUUGUUCGAUGUGGUGGGCAGAAGGCCCGGAAGCUGUGGCUGGCCUGGGAGAGUGACUGGCCCGAGCUUCCCCUCCGACCACCCUGCAGAAGAGAAGUCACCGUCCCUGCAUGGCAGAGCUGUGUUACUACCAAACACAAGUGCGAGGAAGGCUUUUUCUCUGCCAGGGUAACUGCACGGAGCCUUCACUUCUCCCUGCCGUGGACAGCCAGCCGGCCAGGCUCCUCGGAGCUCUCAGUUCGGCCUUGACCUUGGCCCCUGUCCUCGCUAACCGGGUGUGACCCAAGUUUUAGCAAGAAUCUGAUCGAGCUCCAUCUCUCCCCUGUUGUGAUGCUCCUAUUCCAAGAGCCCCAAAUAAAGUCAUCGUUAUUUAACAAGUGUCAAAUUAAUUUUUGAAUACAUUUCAGCAGGAAGCUUAGAGGUUUUAAAAUUUUUUUAGCAUUGCAGAAGCAACAGUUGGGGGAGUGGGUCAUAGUUACUGGCAUAGUAGCCAAUAAUCUAGCCAACCAUUGAACUGUGUUCUGGUAAAU